rnacentral:sRNA from 1 species
UUAACAGCCAUGGAGACUGAAGGCCUCCAUUUAUCCACGGAACAGGUCCAGCUUGGGCAGCAGCAAUGUGAGCAUCCACAUCUCACUGGUACCUCCUCCACACUUGGAGGGUCUCUUUUAGAAGGGACUUGAUACUCUGUGGCCUACUCAAGCCAUGGCCUUU